AACAGGAUUAGAUACCCUGGUAGUCCACGCUGUAAACGAUGUCGACUUGGAGGUUGUGCCCUUGAGGCGUGGCUUCCGGAGCUAACGCGUUAAGUCGACCGCCUGGGGAGUACGGCCGCAAGGUUAAAACUCAAAUGAAUUGACGGGGGCCCGCACAAGCGGUGGAGCAUGUGGUUUAAUUCGAUGCAACGCGAAGAACCUUACCUACUCUUGACAUCCAGAGAAUUCGCUAGAGAUAGCUUAGUGCCUUCGGGAACUCUGAGACAGGUGCUGCAUGGCUGUCGUCAGCUCGUGUUGUGAAAUGUUGGGUUAAGUCCCGCAACGAGCGCAACCCUUAUCCUUUGUUGCCAGCGAGUCAUGUCGGGAACUCAAAGGAGACUGCCGGUGAUAAACCGGAGGAAGGUGGGGAUGACGUCAAGUCAUCAUGGCCCUUACGAGUAGGGCUACACACGUGCUACAAUGGCAUAUACAAAGAGAAGCGACCUCGCGAGAGCAAGCGGACCUCAUAAAGUAUGUCGUAGUCCGGAUCGGAGUCUGCAACUCGACUCCGUGAAGUCGGAAUCGCUAGUAAUCGUGGAUCAGAAUGCCACGGUGAAUACGUUCCCGGGCCUUGUACACACCGCCCGUCACACCAUGGGAGUGGGUUGCAAAAGAAGUAGGUAGCUUAACCUUCGGGAGGGCGCUUACCACUUUGUGAUUCAUGACUGGGGUGAAGUCGUAACAAGGUAACC
rnacentral:rRNA from 1 species